AGUGAACGCUGGCGGUAGGCCUAACACAUGCAAGUCGAACGGCAGUACAGGAGAGCUUGCUCUCUGGGUGGCGAGUGGCGGACGGGUGAGGAAUACAUCGGAAUCUACUCUGUCGUGGGGGAUAACGUAGGGAAACUUACGCUAAUACCGCAUACGACCUACGGGUGAAAGCAGGGGACCUUCGGGCCUUGCGCGAUUGAAUGAGCCGAUGUCGGAUUAGCUAGUUGGCGGGGGAAAGGCCCACCAAGGCGACGAUCCGUAGCUGGCCUGAGAGGAUGAUCAGCCACACUGGAACUGAGACACGGGCCAGACUCCUAGGGGAGGCAGCAGUGGGGAAUAUUGGACAAUGGGCGCAAGCCUGAUCCAGCCAUACCGCGUGGGUGAAGAAGGCCUUCGGGUUGUAAAGCCCUUUUGUUGGGAAAGAAAUCCAGCUGGCUAAUACCCGGUUGGGAUGACGGUACCCAAAGAAUAAGCACCGGCUAACUUCGUGCCAGCAGCCGCCGUAA
rnacentral:rRNA from 1 species